rnacentral:rRNA from 1 species
ACUCCUACGGGAGGCAGCAGUGGGAAUCUUGGACAAUGGGCACCGUAGCAUCAGCCAUGCCGCGUGAGUGAUGAAGGCCUUAGGGUCGUAAAAGCUCUUUCGCCUGUGAAGAUAAUGACGGUAGCAGGUAAAGAAACCCGCGUACAUCCGUGCCAGCAGCCGCGGUAAUACGGAGGGGUUAGCGUUGUUCGGAAUUACUGGGCGUAAAGCGCACGUAGGCGGAUCGGAAAGUUGGGGUGAAAUCCCGGGCUCAACCCGCACGGC